rnacentral:rRNA from 1 species
UGGCGACGGGUGAGUAAUGUCUGGGAAACUGCCCGAUGGAGGGGGAUAACUACUGGAAACGGUAGCUAAUACCGCAUAACGUCGCAAGACCAAAGAGGGGGACCUUCGGGCCUCUUGCCAUCGGAUGUGCCCAGAUGGGAUUAGCUAGUAGGUGGGGUAACGGCUCACCUAGGCGACGAUCCCUAGCUGGUCUGAGAGGAUGACCAGCCACACUGGAACUGAGACACGGUCCAG